CCUCACUCCCGUGCUCAACCGGCCAAAGAAGCAAGGAGCAGCUCACUCUCACUCCCCUCUUAAGCUCUCUCUCCCUUUCUCUCAAAAUCCGACCUCAAGAGAAAGAUUUGAGCACAAGGAACACCGGAGUUCUUCGAUUUCCCUCUGUUUUCUCCAUUCCCCGGCGGUCACCCAACUCCACAAGCAACUUGGAGAACGCUGAUCCUGUCGAUCCCGGAGGCCCAGGGCGAUCCCGACACGCCCCACCUGUUUGAACCAGUGCAUCAAGGUAAGCAUCUAUCAUAUUUCACCUAUGUCGAAUUGAAUAAAAUUUAAAUAUUGAUAAACUAUGCUUAUGUAUAGGUUUGCAUGUAUGGGGAGUCGAUGUCAGGUUUUUACGGGUGGAACUUAUGUUGAUUGUAUAAUCCCUACCUUAAAUUGUACAUCUAUAUCCUUGUAGUCUUAGUAACGUGUUAAAUAUCUAAGAGUCAAUCGAAAUGCUUAGCAAUGUAUAGGUCCUCGGUAGAAGAAGAGUAAUGGUUCGACCAUUAUUCGUGAGCUUAGGGCUUAUUACUUGUUCAUGUAUAUGGUUAUGUGGAUGUUAGUUGGAUGAGUGGUGAGUAUGAGACGAGAUGUGGGUGGUGUUAGGGGUGACGUCUGCUUCGAAGGGAAGUCCUAGGGGUAGUUCGGGAGAGGAACCCAGGCACCGUAGACCGCUUGCAUUGUUUAAAGCCGAUCGUCGGGGUAGUUAGCUUUAGCACUUACCUUACUCACCACAUGCCAAUAUAAUGGUAAGGUGAGCCGAAUACCUUCACAGCUGUGGCUUUGUGGGCCUGAAUAUCGAUGGUGUGAGCGGGCGGGCUUGUAACUGGUACUAGUUUGCCCCGGGAGUAGUUUUAGUACUGUCACGUCGAGCGAUGCACGAUCCACACGGUUGGGGCUGGUUGGGAAAGAUUGUCACGAGUACCCCAUUGUGUGCACUUUAGCGGAUGGCACAAGCCGUAUGGUCCUCGUGUCGUGUGGAUACAGGAGUAUCCCCCUGCAGGGUGUAUAAACAGUUCGAACUGCCACACUCUCGAUCAUGAGCAUACUAUUGUUUCAUUUGCACCCGGUCGUAGGGUUCUCGUUUGUGGAUGAUGGUUUGGUUAUUAUGAUGGUGGAUGAGUUGGUUCAGUUUACUUAUAUGUUCAAGUACGUAUGUUACAUUUACGUUACAGUUUCAUUCAUAUUUAGUUGGUUAUUGCAGGGUAGAAUGGCAUGUUUGAUUAAGUAUAGGUGCUCACACAUAUAUGUCUAUGUUGUCCACCACGUAUGUUUUACUUAACCUUAUGACCUGUCCUUGCUAACAGCUCAAUGCAUAAUCCUUGGAGUCAGAAUAUUAUAUACCCAUAUUGUGUAAGUCUUGUGAGUACAUUCGUACUUAGGAUGCUGCCCUUAAGUUAAUGCAGGUAUUGCUGCUGCCGAGGAAGAGGCUGUUUUUGUCUACUUCGUGCCUGCCGAUCUUGGUGGCGGGCAAGAGUAGUGCAUCCUACUCUGAAAGUGGUGUUUUUGAGACGGUGCCUAAGGGCAUGCGAUGCCGUUCUCUUUUGUUGUUUAUAAGUUUAACUUUCUGCUGCGUAGUUCUUUUGUGGUUAGGAGUUGAGAGGUUUUGUCUCCUCUUAGCUCGCUUUUGUUGUAAAUUGUUGAAAUCAAUUACAUGC